ACGACUCUCGACAAUGGAUAUCUCGGCUCUCGAAUCGAUGAAGAACGUAGCAAAAUGCCAUACUUGGUAUGAAUUGCAGAAUCCCGUCAGCCAUCGAGUCUUUGAAUGCAAGUUGCGCCCCAAGCCUUCUGGCCGAGGGCACGUCUGCUUGGGUGUCACAAAUCGUCGUCCCCCCAUCCUCUCGAGGAUAUGGGAUGGAAGCUGAUCUCUCAUGUGUUACCGCACGUGUUGGCCAAAAUCCGAGCUAAGGAUGCCAGGAGCGUCUUGACAAGCGGUGGUGAAUUCAAUUCUCGUCAUAUAGUCAGACGUUCCGGUCCAAAACCUCUUGAUGACCCAAAGUCCUCAACGCGACCCCAGGUCAGGCGGGAUCACCUGCUGAGUUUAAGCAUAACAAUAAGUAGAGGAAAAGAAACUAACAAGUAUUCCCUUAGUAACGGAGAGCGAACCGGGAAGAGCCCAGCUUGAAAAUGGACGUCUUUGAUGUUUGAAUUGUAGUCUGGAGAAGGGUCCUCAGUGAUGGACCGGGCCCAAGUUCCCUGGAAAGGGGCGCCAGAGAGGGUGAGAGCCCUGUCGUGCCCGGACCCUGUCGCACCACGAGGCGCUGUCUACGAGUCGGGUUGUUUGGGAAUGCAGCCCAAAUCGGGCGGUAAAUUUCGUCCAAGGCUAUAUAUGGGCGAGAGACGGAUAGCGAACAAGUACCGCGAGGUAAAGAUGAAAAGGACUUUGAAAAGUGAGUCAAAGAGUGCUUGAAAUUGUCGGGAGGGAAGCGGAUGGGGGCUGGCGAUUCAUCCCGGUUGGAUGCGGAACGGAGCAAUCCUGUACGCCGAUCGAUUCGGGCCGUGGACCGACACGGAUUAAGGUGGUGACCUAAGACCGGGCUUUUGUUACGCCCGCGGAGACGUUGCUGCCUUUAUUGUGGUCUGCAGCACGCGCCUCACGGCGUGCCUCAGCAUCUGCAUGCUCAGGGCGUCGGCCUGCGGGCUCCCCAUUCGACCCAUCUUGAAACACGGACCAAGGAGUCUGACAUAUGUGCGAGUCAACGGGUGAGUAAACCUUUAAGGCGCAAGGAAGCUGAUUGGCGGGAUCCCUCACGGGUGCACAGCCAUACGACCUUGAUCUUCUGAGAAGGGUUCGAGUGUGAGCAUGCCUGUCGCGACCCAAAAGAUGGUGAACUAUGCCUGAGCGGGGCAAAGCCAGAGGAAACUCUGGUGGAGGCCCGCAGCAAUACUGACGUGCAAAUAGUUCGUCUGACUUGGGUAUAGGGGCGAAAGACUAAUCGAACCAUCUAGUAGCUGGUUCCCUCAGAAGUUUCCCUCAGGAUAGCUGGAGCUCGGAAACGAGUUCUAUCGAGUAAAGCCAAUGAUUAGAGGCAUCGGGGAUGCAAUGUCCUCGACCUAUUCUCAAACUUUAAAUAGGUAGGACGGGGUGCCUGCUCUGUUGAGCCAUCCCACGGAAUCGAGAGCUGUAAGUGGGCCAUUUUUGGUAAGCAGAACUGGCGAUGCGGGAUGAACUGGAAGCCGGGUUACGGUGCCCAACUGCACGCUAACCUAGAACCCACAAAGGGUGUUGGUCGAUUAAGACAACAGGACGGUGGUCAUUGAAGUUGAAAUCCGCUAAGGAGUGUGUAAUAACUCACAUGCCGAAUCAACUAGCCCCGAAAAUGGAUGGCGCUGAAGCGUACGACCUAUACCCGGCCAUCUGGGCAAGAGCCAGGCCUCGAUGAGUAGGAGGGCGCGGCAGUCGCUGCAAAACCUAGGGCGCGAGCCCGGGCGGAGCGGCCGUCGGUGCAGAUCUUGGUGGUAGUAGCAAAUAUUCAAAUGAGAACUUUGAAGACCGAAGAGGGGAAAGGUUCCAUGUGAAUGGCACUUGCACAUGGGUUAGUUGAUCCUAAGAGUCAGAGGAAACCCGUCUGAUAGCGCUUAUGUGCGAAUUUUUAAAGGGGAUCCGGUUAAAAUUCCAGAACCGGGACGUGGCAGUUGACAGCAAUGUUAGGAAGUCCGGAGACGUCGGCGGGAAUUCCGGAAAGAGUUAUCUUUUCUGUUUAACAGCUUGCCACCCUUGAAACGGCUAAGCCGGAGGUAGGGUCCAGCGGCUGGAAGAGCACCGCACGUCGCGUGGUGUCGGGUGAAUUCCCGGUGGCCCUUGAAAAUCUGGAGGACCGAGUGCCGCUCACGCCCGGUCGUACUCAUAACCGCAUCAGGUCUUGCAACACCCCCCGGUCGUACUCAUAACCGCAUCAGGUCUUGCAACACCCCGAUCCGGCAGACUAAGCCGUGAUCGAAGUCUUACGUCGCUCGGUCUACUUCUUGGCCGAACCUCUUCAUUUUUGCCCUUUAUUUAUAAUAUUGCCUAAAGGCGACGGCUAACUUAUAUCUUAGCUAAAGACUUUCCUAGUCAUUAAUAGCUUAGAUCCUUUCAACAGAUAUGCAGCGGAUUAUUCUCUUGUUAACCAUUGGUCUAAAACCAAUUUAACACUUUUCUGGUUGAAUCACCUUAGCCUUGGUCAGUUUACUCAACUACCAAUUAGCUUAAAGGUCAAUCCUAAACCCAAACCAGUCCAUACGAUUCUGAGGUUCCAUUCCCCUAAACCAUUCUAUCUAAAUCUACAUAAUUAAAAGCUCGAUCAUACCUUUGUCACAUCUAUAGAGCUUAUUAGCUCAUCGGUUCUCCAUUGACUCAAAUUGCUCUUUCUUUAAAGCUGGACCCCAAUCACUCAAUGAUCUUACUUAAGAUCCUUAUCGUGACUCCUGCAUCAAACAACUCCCCUAGGUACUUAGUCAAUCAACCAACCAUCCCCACAGACAUAAGUAACCUUUGAGAUGUCUUUUAAAGGAUAAGGUUUGCAUCUGGCCUUUCUCGGCUCAUGCACAAUCCGAAAUCCUUUUGCCUUAUAGGCGAUUGUACCAAGUCCAUCUUCUGGACUGACAAAGCUCAUUAAAUCCUAAGUCAAUCAACCAACCUUCCUCACAUGACUUGGAACUGAUGAGUCAUCAUAUGGCCUGAUCGGCCUUGGGACUUAACCCAGACAACAUAUAUGAUUUGUUCAUUCCAACCGAUGCAUUCAUUAAUCAGGUUAGGACCGACACCUCGAACCAUCAUUCACAGGUCAGGUCGUCCAUACUCAACCAUGAUCAAAUCUUACACGGCCUUCCUUGAACAAUCACACUUA
rnacentral:rRNA from 1 species